UACAGAGGGUGCGAGCGUUAAUCGGAAUUACUGGGCGUAAAGCGCGCGUAGGCGGCUUUGCAAGUCGGGUGUGAAAUCCCCAGGCUUAACCUGGGAACUGCAUUCGAGACUGCAUUGCUAGAGUAUGGGAGAGGGAAGUGGAAUUUCAGGUGUAGCGGUGAAAUGCGUAGAUAUCUGAAGGAACAUCAGUGGCGAAAGCGACUUCCUGGACCAAUAC
rnacentral:rRNA from 1 species